GGAGGUGAGCUGAGCUGAGUUGAGCAUGAAACUGAGUGGGACUGACUCGAGCUGAACCGAAGGGGGCUGAGGGCGGCCAUGCAUGCCAUUCCCUUCACCUGAGGCUCUUCCGCUCUCUCUCCAACUGGCCAACUCCUCCAGACAGUCGCCACCCUCAACCCCAGGUCAAGACAGAACUUCGGCAGCAGCCCAGAAGGCUCCCCCAUCCCCCUUCCCAGGCAAUAACUCCCGCACCCACAAAAGGAACCACUGUUCUGACUUCUAGAUUCGUCUGACCUGUUCUCGGACUUCCUAUCAGAGCAAUCACGCAGUACCUGGUCCUUUGCGUGUGACCUCUUUUCCUAGUGCUGUCAAGAUUCACCCAUUGUGUGCGUGAAUCAACAGCUCCCUCCAUG